rnacentral:rRNA from 1 species
UAGGGAAUCUUCCGCAAUGGGCGAAAGCCUGACGGAGCAACGCCGCGUGAGUGAUGAAGGUUUUCGGAUCGUAAAACUCUGGUAUUAGGGAAGAACAAAUGUGUAAGUCACUAUGCACGUCUUGACGGUACCUAAUCAGAAAGCCACGGCUAACUACGUGCCAGCAGCAGCGGUAAUACGUAGGUGGCAAGCGUUAUCCGGAAUUAUUGGACGUAAAGCGCGCGUAGGCGGUUUUUUAAGUCUGAUGUGAAAGCCCACGGCUCAACCGUGGAUGGUCAUUUGAGACUGGACAACUUGAGUGCAGAAGAGUGAAGUGGAAUUCCAUGUGUAGCGGUGAACUUCGCAGUGAUAUGUAGUCACACCAGUGGCGAAGGCGACUUUCUGGUCUGUAACUGACGCUGAUGUGCGAAAGCGUGUGGAUCAAACAGG